rnacentral:rRNA from 1 species
UACGGAGGGAGCUAGCGUUGUUCGGGAUUACUGGGCGUAAAGCGCACGUAGGCGGCUAUUCAAGUCGGGGGUGAAAGCCCGGGGCUCAACCCCGGAACUGCCCUCGAAACUAGGUAGCUAGAAUCUUGGAGAGGCGAGUGGAAUUCCGAGUGUAGAGGUGAAAUUCGUAGAUAUUCGGAAGAACACCAGUGGCGAAGGCGACUCGCUGGACAAGUAUUGACGCUGAGGUGCGAAAGCGUGGGGAGCAAACAGG